GCUCAGUGUAAUCCACUAAACAUUGAACUAAAAAUCUGUGAAAUUGCCAUCAGAAGAAUGCUUGUCCAACACCAAAGAACGUUUGAGAAGUAAGAGAUGGAAAUAUAUGGAUACAUGUGCCAAGAAACAGGCUACCCCAAAAGGCUGAAUGAUUACCAAGAACUGGGAAUUGUGGAAAUUCUGCUUCUGUGAUUCCGGAUGAGACCUUGCAGAACCUUUGGCAUAACCAGCACAUAAAAGAGCAUCACAGAACUGGUGUGAUUUAAACAUGAGGAACAGGUACAGGUAAUGUGGUUUAGGACCAAAUCACUGAAGUACUGAAGAUUAAACAGAAUUAAUGAACUUUAGACUGCAGUCUCCAUAAAUGAGCCAACAAAUAUGCAGCAAAAUCCUGAACUGC
rnacentral:lncRNA from 1 species